GUGUAGGGCCAUACCACCCUGAAGGCGCUUGAUCUCGUCUGAUCUCAGAAGCUUAGCAGGGUCGGGCCCAUUUAGUACUUGGAUGGGAGACCGCCUGGAAAAACUGGGCACUAUAGGUU
rnacentral:rRNA from 1 species